GCUGGGCAUGGUGGUGCAUGCCUGUAGUCCCAGCUACUCAGGAGGCUGAGGCAGGAGAAUGGCUUGAACCCAGGAGAUGGAGGUUACAGUGAGCAGAGUUCAUGCCACUGCACUCCAGCCUGGGCAACAAAGUGAGACUCUGUCUCAA
rnacentral:SRP_RNA from 1 species